rnacentral:rRNA from 1 species
GUAAGGCCCUUCGGGGUACACGAGCGGCGAACGGGUGAGUAACACGUGAGCAACCUACCCUCAACUUCGGGAUAAGCCUCGGAAACGGGGUCUAAUACCGGAUAUCACUCCUUACUUCAUGGUUUGGGGUUGAAAGUUCUGGCGGUUGGGGAUGGGCUCGCGGCCUAUCAGCUUGUUGGUGGGGUAAUGGCCUACCAAGGCGUCGACGGGUAGCCGGCCUGAGAGGGCGACCGGCCACACUGGGACUGAGACACGGCCCAGACUCCUACGGGAGGCAGCAGUGGGGAAUAUUGCGCAAUGGGCGAAAGCCUGACGCAGCAACGCCGCGUGAGGGAUGACGGCCUUCGGGUUGUAAACCUCUUUCAGCAGGGACGAAGCGAGAGUGACGGUACCUGCAGAAGAAGGACCGGCCAACUACGUGCCAGCAGCCGCGGUAAUACGUAGGGUCCGAGCGUUGUCCGGAAUUAUUGGGCGUAAAGGGCUCGUAGGCGGUUCGUCACGUCGGGAGUGAAAACUCGGAGCUUAACUCCGAGCCUGCUUCCGAUACGGGCAGACUAGAGGUAGGCAGGGGAGAGCGGAACUCCUGGUGUAGCGGUGGAAUGCGCAGAUAU